rnacentral:misc_RNA from 1 species
GCGUUGCUAGGGCGUCAGCGCGGGCAGUUAAGAGGUGGUCAGCGCGAUGACGAGGGGCUGCACGGGCGGAGAUGCCGGCGCAAGGGAGACAUGCGCAGGGCAGCCAAGAGGGGGGAAGGCGGCCGCGACCGCGACUAUGGAGGGGCGGCAUCAGCCGCCAUGAGGUCGGCGGCGCAAUGGAGCAGGGCCGGCGGCGGAUCAAGCCAGGGAGGAGAUGCCCGUGUGGCGGAUCAAGGCCGGCGGCGGGACCAAACAGAGGAGGGGGCGGGCGCGUAUCCGCGGCUGGGGGUUUGGCGCUCGGCGG